UGGGGAAUAUUGGACAAUGGGCGAAAGCCUGAUCCAGCCAUGCCGCGUGUGUGAAGAAGGUCUUCGGAUUGUAAAGCACUUUAAGUUGGGAGGAAGGGCAUUAACCUAAUACGUUAGUGUUUUGACGUUACCGACAGAAUAAGCACCGGCUAACUCUGUGCCAGCAGCCGCGGUAAUACAGAGGGUGCCAGCGUUAAUCGGAAUUACUGGGCGUAAAGCGCGCGUAGGUGGUUUGUUAAGUUGGAUGUGAAAUCCCCGGGCUCAACCUGGGAACUGCAUUCAAAACUGACUGACUAGAGUAUGGUAGAGGGUGGUGGAAUUUCCUGUGUAGCGGUGAAAUGCGUAGAUAUAGGAAGGAACACCAGUGGCGAAGGCGACCACCUGGACUAAUACUGACACUGAGGUGCGAAAGAGUGGGGAGCAAACA
rnacentral:rRNA from 1 species